rnacentral:SRP_RNA from 1 species
GCUUGGCAGGGUGGGGAAAUCUUGUAAUCUUUGCUACUGGGGAAGCUGAGGCUAGUGGAUCUCAACCUCAGGGUUUCAGAGCUGCAGUACUCCCAAGCUAAUUGGGCAUCCACUGUAAGUCUGGCAUCAGUAUGCUGAGCCCCUGGGAACAGAGGACCAUCAAGCUGCUGAGGAGGAGCAAACCAGCCCAGGUAGGAAAUGGAGCAGGUCAAAUCUCUCAUGCUGAUCGGUGGUUGGGUCAUUCCCAUGAGCGGCUGCUGUACUUUCACAUUGGACGAGAAAGGCAAAUCUCGU